rnacentral:rRNA from 1 species
UAGGGAAUUUUCGUCAAUGGGGGCAACCCUGAACGAGCAAUGCCGCGUGAGCGAAGAAGGUCUUCGGAUUGUAAAGCUCUGUUGACCGGGGGAAAAAAGGAAAGGAAAAGAGGAAAAUGCUUUUUCUUUGGAUGGUACCCGGCCAGAAAGUCACGGCUAACUACGUGCC